GAGGUAUGAAGAAAACAUCUGAACAGUCUGAUUGCCACUGAAGCUGAAGACUGGUUAAGAUCCAACUCUGACCUCAAUUAAGCC
ensembl:snoRNA small nucleolar RNA, C/D box 19